rnacentral:rRNA from 1 species
CCUUACCUACCCUUGACAUGCCAGGAACUUGCCAGAGAUGGCUUGGUGCUCGAAAGAGAGCCUGGACACAGGUGCUGCAUGGCCGUCGUCAGCUCGUGUCGUGAGAUGUUGGGUUAAGUCCCGCAACGAGCGCAACCCUUGUCAUUAGUUGCUACGAAAGGGCACUCUAAUGAGACUGCCGGUGACAAACCGGAGGAAGGUGGGGAUGACGUCAGGUCCUCAUGGCCCUUAUGGGUAGGGCCACACACGUCAUACAAUGGCCGGGACAGAGGGCUGCCAACCCGCGAGGGGGAGCUAAUCCCAGAAACCCGGUCGUAGCCCGGAUCGUAGUCUGCAACUCGACUGCGUGAAGUCGGAAUCGCUAGUAAUCGCGGAUCAGCUUGCCGCGGUGAAUACGUUCCCGGGUCUUGUACACACCGCCCGUCACACCAUGGGAGCGG